CCGCCGGGACGCCGCCCUGCCCUUCACGUGAUCAGCACCGUCCCCUGGCAGGAGCCUGGAGCAGCUGCCCUGGGUGAGGAGCUCGGAAGGACAGGCAGGGAGGGCCCAGCACAGCAGGCCGGGGACAGCCAGGACGUGGGUACAGCCUGACUCGUCUGGACGGCCGCCCACGCAUCAGGGGUUUGCUCCUCCUGUCACGAGUCGGUGCAGACGAGGGCAGGGUCCUGGCCGCAGCCUCCUCACGACCCAACUCUGCGGCUGGGGGCGGCUAUUCCUGGACAGCCUCGGGUGGCUCAGGACCUCAGAAAGGGCAUCUUCAGGUGGACAUCGACGUUGGAGUCUGGGGCUCCAGAUCAAAGCCGCAGGGUCAAGAUAACCAGCAGUUUCCUCUACAACACAAAUACUGAGUUGCAAGAAGAAGCACAGGCUCUUCCGGGACCCCAGCCCAGAAAAGUGAAACAGUGUUGCCAGGCAGACCUGGGCUCCAGGGAAAGUGCGCUUGCUUCCAGCAGGUGUAUCGCUAAACACAACCACAUAACGUGCUCGCUUACCGAGUGUUCAGUGAGGUGGGUUUUGGUCCAUCCGCAGACGUGUGCCAGCAGCACCGCCGUCAACUUCAGGACACUUUCAUGACCUCGGAAGGAGCCUGCACCUUCCAGCUGUCACCACCCAUUCCCCAGUCCCCACCCAACCCUAAGAAAUGGCCAGUCUGUUUUCUGCCCGCAGCUUUCCCUGUCCGGAACGUUUCGUACAAAGGACGUCCCAGAGCGUGUGUCCGCUGCGCCGGGGCUUCCUUCACUGCGGGUGUUUUUCGGCUCGUGCCCUUCGCAGCGGGAGUCAGUACUGUACUCCUUGCUUAUGAUCCAACACACUCCCUCGGGGGGUGACCGCAGUGGUUGUCUGCUCCUCGGUCGACGGGCAUUUGGUUUCUCCUACUUUUCGGCUGUUGUGAAUGGUGCCCCGUAAAUACACAGGAACAGGUUUUCACGGGGACGUCCGUCUGCCUUGCUCGCGGGCCUGUACCCGGAGGCAAGCGUCUGCGUCACAUGGUAACCGUGGCGAGUAUUUCCGCAACUCUCAGCGACCUGCCCGCUUGGGCCUGUCUGACCUUUGGUUCCACCACCCGAGCGGAUGGGAAGCGGAAAACUGGUUUCCCCAGGGACCUCUCCCCGCAGCGGCCCGGGUCACACACAGUGACCUGCGGCCGUUGGACCUCGGAUGGGCCCCAGCCAUCCUUGACUUCCGGACCAUCCUCUCCCGCCUGGACCACGGUCUGUGGUCUCCUCCCCGCGUUCUCACAAGAGGAGGAAGAGGCCCGCGUUCAGCUCGGGUGCGCCCCUCCUUCGAGCAGCUUUCCUUCCGGGUGGGUCUCUCCCUGUGCCUCCCAGGCGGUCAGGAUACAAGUCCACCUGGGGACCUGCCAUCCUCGCAACACGGCCUUUAUGGGCCCCUCCGCUGUCAAACCACAUGUAUCUCCACGGAUGUCCCGCUCUGUCACACCCGGCCUCUGAGCCUUUGCACCCUCUGUUCCCUCUGCCUGUUGUGCUCCCUCCACCUUGGCUGGCUGGGUCCUUCCCGUCUGUACAGCUCAGCACCUCCUCCGUGAGGACCUCCCAGACCCCUGGCCAGACUUAGGUACCCUCCUCAGUGGUCCCGCAGCACCGUAGCUUUGACCAUGUGUUUGUCUGCUCUGCAGACAUAGCUCAGCACAUGGUAGGUGUUCAAUAAAUG